CAUGAGUGGCGGACGGGUGAGUAACGCGUGGGCAACCUGGCCUGUACAGGGGGAUAACACUUAGAAAUAGGUGCUAAUACCGCAUAACGGGGGAAGCCGCAUGGCUUUUCCCUGAAAACUCCGGUGGUACAGGAUGGGCCCGCGUCUGAUUAGCCAGUUGGCAGGGUAACGGCCUACCAAAGCGACGAUCAGUAGCCGGCCUGAGAGGGUGGACGGCCACAUUGGGACUGAGACACGGCCCAAACUCCUACGGAAGGCAGCAG
rnacentral:rRNA from 1 species